GUGAAUUCAUGACUGGGGUGAAGUCGUAACAAGGUAACCGUAGGGGAACCUGCGGUUGGAUCACCUCCUUACCU
rnacentral:rRNA from 1 species